GAAAUGCGAUAAGUAGUGUGAAUUGCAGAAUUCAGUGAAUCAUCGAAUCUUUGAACGCACAUUGCGCCCCUUGGUAUUCCAUGGGGCAUGCCUGUUCGAGCGUCAUUUGUACCCUCAAGCUCUGCUUGGUGUUGGGUGUUUGUCCCGUCUCCGCGCGUGGACUCGCCCCAAAGUGAUUGGCAGCCGGCGUACUGGUCCCGGAGCGCAGCACAUGUCGCGCAAACGAGUGCCUUGGUACGGCGGCGUCCAUAAGCCCCUCUCUCACGCUCUUGACCUCGGAUCAGGUAGGACUACCCGCUGAACUUAAGC
rnacentral:misc_RNA from 1 species